GACGAACGCUGGCGGCGGGCUUAACACAUGCAAGUCGAACGGAAAGGCCCUGCUUUUGUGGGGUGCUCGAGUGGCGAACGGGUGAGGAACAGGAGAGUAACCUGCCCUUGACUUUGGGAUAACUUCAGGAAACUGGGGCUAAUACCGUAUAGGAUCUCCUGCUGCAUGGUGGGGGUGGGAAAGUUGCGGCGGUUGUGGCUGGACGCGCGGCUGAUCAGCUAGUUGGUGGGGGAGUGGCUGACCAAGGCUGUGACGGGUAGCCGGCAGGGGAGGGUGAACGGCCUCAUUGGGCCUGCGAUAGGGCGCAGUCUCCUAUGGGAGGCAGUAGUCGGGAAUCUUGCCCAAUGGGCGCACGUCUGAUACAGAAGCGCCGCGUGCGGGAUGCCGGCCUUCUGGUUGUAAACAGCUUCCGCCUGUGACCAAGCGUGAGUGACGGUACUGAGUAAAGAAGCACCGGCUAACUACGUG
rnacentral:rRNA from 1 species